rnacentral:rRNA from 1 species
UGCCAGCCGCCGCGGUAAAACGGAGGGUGCGAGCGUUAAUCGGAAUCACUGGGCGUAAAGCGUACGUAGGUGGCAAGGUCAGUCAGGCGUGAAAGCCCUCGGCUCAACCGAGGAAUUGCGUUUGAUACUGCUUUGCUAGAGUCUCGGAGAGGUUGGCGGAAUUCCGAGUGUAGAGGUGAAAUUCGUAGAUAUCUGGAGGAACACCAGUGGCGAAGGCGGCCAACUGGACGAGUACUGACACUGAGGUACGAAAGCGUGGGUAGCAAACAGGAUUAGAUA